rnacentral:lncRNA from 1 species
CCAUAGAACCCCAUAGAAUCCGAUGGGAUCCCACAGAACCCCAUAGAACCCGAUGGGACCCCACAGAACCCCACAGAACUCUAUAGGACCCCAUAGAACCCGAUGGGACCCCACAGAACCCCAUAGACCUCUAUAGGACCCCAGAGAAUCCCAUAGAACUUUAUGGGACCCCACAGAACCCCAUAGAACUCUAUAGGAACCCACAAAAGCCACAAAACUCUAUAGGACCCCAAUGGAACCGCAGAACCCUACAGGAUCCCACAGAACCCCACAGAACCCUAUAGGAUCCCAUAGGACCCCCAUAACCCCACAGAACCCCCCAGAACCCUAUAGGAUCCCAUAGGACCCCCAGAACCCCCCAGGACCCCAUAGAACCCCACAGGACCCAGAGAACCCCAUAAAACCCCACAGAACCCCCCAAACCCCACAGAACCCCAUAGGGUUCUGUGGGGUUCCGGAGGUCCUAUGGGAUCCUAUAGGAUUCACGGGGGUUCUAUGGGGAUCUAUGGGGUUCUGUGGGCUUCUAUGGGGUCCUAUGGGAUCCUAUAGGGUUCUGUGGGGUACGAUAGGGUUCUAUGGGGUCCUAUGGGAUCCUAUAGGGUUCUAUGGGGUUCUGUGGGGUGCUAUAGGGUUCUGUGGGGUCCGAUAGGGCCUAUGGGGUUCUAUGGGGGUCCUAUAGAGGUCCUAAGGGGUCCUAUAGGGUGCUGUGGGGUCCUAUUGGGUUCUGUGGGGUUCUAUGGGGUUCUGUGAGGUCCGAUAGGGCCUAUGGGGUUCUAUGGGGGUCCUAUAGGGGUCCUAAGGGGUCUUAUAGGGUUCUGUGGGGUUCUGGGGCUCCUAUGGGAUCCUAUGGGGUUCUGUGGGCUUCUAUGGGGUCCUAUGGGAUCCUAUAGGGUUCUGUGGGGUCCUAUGGGGUUCUGUGGGGUCUAUGGGGUCCUAUUGGGGUCCUUUAGGGGUCUAUGGGGUUCUAUAGGGGUCCUAUGGGGGUCUAUGGGGUUCUAUGGGGGUCCUAUGGGAUCCUAUAGGGUUCUGUGGGGUCCUAUGGGGUUCUGUGGGGUCUAUGCAGUCCUAAGGGG